rnacentral:rRNA from 1 species
UGAGGAAUAUUGGUCAAUGGACGCAAGUCUGAACCAGCCAAGUAGCGUGCAGGAUGACGGCCCUAUGGGUUGUAAACUGCUUUUAUAUGGGGAUAAAGUGGGGAACGUGUUCCCUUUUGCAGGUACCAUAUGAAUAAGGACCGGCUAAUUCCGUGCCAGCAGCCGCGGUAAUACGGAAGGUUCGGGCGUUGUCCGGAUUUAUUGGGCGUAAAGCGAGCGCAGGCGGUUAGAAAAGUCUGAAGUGAAAGGCAGUGGCUCAACCAUUGUAGGCUUUGGAAACUGUUUAACUUGAGUGCAGAAGGGGAGAGUGGAAUUCCAUGUGUAGCGGUGAAAUGCGUAGAUAUAUGGAGGAACACCGGUGGCGAAAGCGGCUCUCUGGUCUGUAACUGACGCUGAGGCUCGAAAGCGUGGGGAGCGAACAGG